CUGCGAGGGGAGGGGGCUCAAGAUGUAAGCAGCGAAGAGAUCUCGGGCUCUCGCAAUGCGACAUUCAGCUGCGUCACACCUCAGCCGCAGCUGCAGCUCAGAGAGGCCUUCCUUGCCUCCACCACUUUCGCCCAGGCCUCCGCUGCCGCUGCCACCUCUGGUGUAAUCACCUCGGCCCAGCCGCGCCCCGCCCAGCGCUCCUGCUGCCUUCACCGCUGCCACCUCCUCAGCCCCGGCUUCCGCCGCCACCACCCAAGCAUCCAUUUGAAUGGGAGCAACUGUUUGCUGAUGUGUGAAGUGGUAGGAGGAAUGAGCCUGUGCAUCACAGAAACUUCAAUUCAGCACAGGGUCAUCUUUGUGGCUUGAAGGAUCCAGCAGAGGGACUUUCAGUCAAUAAAUAUUUGUUGUACUUAAAUCUACUCUUGGAU
rnacentral:lncRNA from 1 species